UAGGGAAUCUUCGGCAAUGGGGGGAACCCUGACCGAGCAACGCCGCGUGAGUGAAGAAGGUUUUCGGAUCGUAAAGCUCUGUUGUUAAGGAAGAACGAGUGUGAGAAUGGAAAGUUCAUGCUGUGACGGUACUUAACCAGAAAGGGACGGCUAACUACGUGCCAGCAGCCGCGGUAAUACGUAGGUCCCGAGCGUUGUCCGGAUUUAUUGGGCGUAAAGCGAGCGCAGGCGGUUAGAUAAGUCUGAAGUUAAAGGCAGUGGCUCAACCAUUGUAGGCUUUGGAAACUGUUUAACUUGAGUGCAGAAGGGGAGAGUGGAAUUCCAUGUGUAGCGGUGAAAUGCGUAGAUAUAUGGAGGAACACCGGUGGCGAAAGCGGCUCUCUGGUCUGUAACUGACGCUGAGGCUCGAGAGCGUGGGGAGCGAACAGG
rnacentral:rRNA from 1 species